GGUGGCCUAGUAGUUAGAGCGUCUGUCUCGGAUGCGGGAGAUCGCGGAUUCGAACCCCGACUGAAUCA